UAUUCAUUUAAAUAUUUUUAUUGUAACCCAUUUCUACUUAAAUAUUAGCUACACCUUGAUCUGAUAUAUUUUCUUUUUAAAAAUUAUGAAAAUUAACAUUCUUAUAAAAUAUUCUAAUAACGACGGUAUAUAAACUGAUUACAAACUUAAGUAAGGUCCAUCGUGGAUUAUCGAUUACAGAACAGGUUCCUCUGAAUAGACUAAAAUACCGCCAAAUUUUUUAAGUUUCAAGAACAUAACUACUACUACCUUAGUUUUUAAAUUUACAUUUUAAAUAAUAGGGUAUCUAAUCCUAGUUUAUUAUUAAAAUUUUCAAGCUUCAAUUAUUUUAUAUAAAAAAUUUAUAAAUUUAAAAUUUCACCUAAUAAAUUUAUUCUUAUUUUAUAAAUAAACAACUUAACUUUAACCAAAGAAAAUUUAUUUGCAUUAUUCGUAUAACCGCGGCUGCUGGCACAAAUUUAGCCAAUACUCUUUAAUAUUACUAUUUCUAAGUUUCCUUAAUUAAUAAUACUAAUUACUGCGAAUACAAUUAACUUAUUUAUUAUUUAAAUAAAUAAAAAGUCACACAAAAAUUUACAUGUAAAUUAAAUUAAUAAUAAAUUUACAAGCCAAAAUAAAACUUUAUACCAUCAAUUAUAAAAU
rnacentral:rRNA from 1 species